rnacentral:rRNA from 1 species
ACUCGAGUGGCGAACGGGUGAGUAACACGUGGGUGAUCUGCCCUGCACUUCGGGAUAAGCUUGGGAAACUGGGUCUAAUACCGGAUAGGAGCCAUCUUUAGUGUGGUGGUUGGAAAGUUUCGGCGGUUGGGGAUGGACUCGCGGCUUAUCAGAUUGUUGGUGGGGUAGUGGCUUACCAAGGCUUUGACGGGUAGCCGGCCUGAGAGGGUGACCGGCCACAUUGGGACUGAGAUACGGCCCAG